UACGGGGGGGGCAAGCGUUGUUCGGAAUUACUGGGCGUAAAGGGCUCGUAGGCGGCCAACUAAGUCAGACGUGAAAUCUUCCGGCUCAACCGGAAAAGUGCGCGCGAAACUGGCGGACUUGAGUGCCGGAGAGGGUGGCGGAAUUCCCGGUGUAGAGGUGAAAUUCGUAGAUAUCGGAAGGAACGCCGGUGGCGAAAGCGACACACUGGGUCUCAACUGACGCUGAGGCACGAAAGCCAGGGGAGCGAACGGG
rnacentral:rRNA from 1 species